rnacentral:rRNA from 1 species
ACCUGAUCCAGCCAUGCCGCGUGAGUGAUGAAGGCCCUAGGGUUGUAAAGCUCUUUGUGCGGGAAGAUAAUGACGGUACCGCAAGAAUAAGCCCCGGCUAACUUCGUGCCAGCAGCCGCGGUAAUACGAAGGGGGCUAGCGUUGCUCGGAAUCACUGGGCGUAAAGGGUGCGUAGGCGGGUCUUUAAGUCAGGGGUGAAAUCCUGGAGCUCAACUCCAGAACUGCCUUUGAUACUGAAGAUCUUGAGUUCGGGAGAGGUGAGUGGAACUGCGAGUGUAGAGGUGAAAUUCGUAGAUAUUCGCAAGAACACCAGUGGCGAAGGCGGCUCACUGGCCCGAUACUGACGCUGAGGCACGAAAGCGUGGGGAGCAAACAGGAUUAGAUUCCCUGGUAGUCCACGCCGUAAACGAUGAAUGCCAGCCGUUAGUGGGUUUACUCACUAGUGGCGCAGCUAACGCUUUAAGCAUUCCGCCUGGGGAGUACGGUCGCAAGAUUA